rnacentral:rRNA from 1 species
CCUACGGGAGGCAGCAGUGAGGAAUAUUGGUCAAUGGACGAGAGUCUGAACCAGCCAAGUAGCGUGAAGGAUGACUGCCCUAUGGGUUGUAAACUUCUUUUAUAUGGGAAUAAAAUGUUCCACGUGUGGGAUUUUGUAUGUACCAUAUGAAUAAGGAUCGGCUAACUCCGUGCCAGCAGCCGCGGUAAUACGGAGGAUCCGAGCGUUAUCCGGAUUUAUUGGGUUUAAAGGGAGCGUAGGUGGAGUGUUAAGUCAGUUGUGAAAGUUUGCGGCUCAACCGUAAAAUUGCAGUUGAAACUGGCAGUCUUGAGUACAGUAGAGGUGUGCGGAAUUCGUGGUGUAGCGGUGAAAUGCUUAGAUAUCACGAAGAACUCCGAUUGCGAAGGCAGUUCACUGGACUGCAACUGACACUGAGGCUCGAAAGUGUGGGUAUCAAACAGGAUUAGAUACCCCUGUAGUC